UCCUAGGGGAGCGUUUGUGCUGAGAAACUGUGGUAGUCCUGCCACGGUGACCCUUUGAACCUGGAUCGGGUAAUGCCGCCGCAGGGAAUGGACU
rnacentral:ncRNA from 1 species